rnacentral:snRNA from 1 species
AGCUUUGCACAGGGGCAGUAUUGUAGCCAGUGAGGUUUAUCCGAGUCUCGAUUAUUGCUAAUUGAAAACUUUUACCAAUAUGCAUUAUUUUCUUUUGUCAUACUAUGACAUAGUACUUUGUCUGGACUACAUCGCC